rnacentral:rRNA from 1 species
AUUGAACGCUGGCGGCAGGCCUAACACAUGCAAGUCGAGCGGAUGAAGGGAGCUUGCUCCUGGAUUCAGCGGCGGACGGGUGAGUAAUGCCUAGGAAUCUGCCUGGCAGUGGGGGAUAACGUCCGGAAACGGGCGCUAAUACCGCAUACGUCCUGAUGGAGAAAGUGGGGGAUCUUCGGACCUCACGCUAUCAGAUGAGCCUAGGUCGGAUUAGCUAGUUGGUGGGGUAAAGGCCUACCAAGGCGACGAUCCGUAACUGGUCUGAGAGGAUGAUCAGUCACACUGGAACUGAGACACGGUCCAGACUCCUACGGGAGGCAGCAGUGGGGAAUCUUGGGCAAUGGGCGAAAGCCUGAUGCAGCCAUGCCGCGUGUGUGAAGAAGGUCUUCGGAUCGUAAAGCACUUUUAGUUGGGAGGAAGGGAAGUAUGUUUAUCCCUUGCUGUUUUGACGUUACCAAAAGAAUAAGCAACGGCUAACUACGUG